CGGGAAGAGCUCAAAUUUGUAAUCUGGCACCUUUGGUGUCCGAGUUGUAAUCUCGAGAAGUGUUUUCCGCGCCGGACCGCAUACAAGUCUGUUGGAAUACAGCGUCAUAGUGGUGAGAGCCCCGUAACUGAUGCGGAUGCCCGGUGCUUUGUGAUACACUUUCGAAGAGUCGAGUUGUUUGGGAAUGCAGCUCAAAUUGGGUGGUAAAUUCCAUCUAAAGCUAAAUAUUGGCGAGAGACCGAUAGCGAACAAGUACCGUGAGGGAAAGAUGAAAAGCACUUUGGAAAGAGAGUUAACAGUACGUGAAAUUGUUGGAAGGGAAACGCUUGAAGUCAGACUUGCUAUUUGGAAUUCAGCCGCAAGGUGUACUUUUCAAUUUGCAGGCCAGCAUCAGUUUUCGGGGGUGGAAAAGGGUUAGAGGAAGGUAGCAAUCUCGGUUGUGUUAUAGCC
rnacentral:rRNA from 1 species